rnacentral:rRNA from 1 species
UCCUACGGGAGGCAGCAGUGGGGAAUAUUGCACAAUGGGCGCAAGCCUGAUGCAGCCAUGCCGCGUGUAUGAAGAAGGCCUUCGGGUUGUAAAGUACUUUCAGCGGGGAGGAAGGCGAUAAGGUUAAUAACCUUGUCGAUUGACGUUACCCGCAGAAGAAGCACCGGCUAACUCCGUGCCAGCAGCCGCGGUAAUACGUAGGUGGCAAGCG